rnacentral:piRNA from 1 species
UUCAGUUUCAUUGGGCUAAGGUGGUU